UCAUCAUUUAUUAUUACGUUUAUUCAACUUUGUUGAAAAAUAACCUCCACGAGAAUGAAUUUGUCUGGGCAUGGGUCGAUCUGUUGAAUGACGUCGAGGAUUUUUACCCGAAAAAAAUCGGACGUUCUUACGGGCUUUAAGAAUAGUCUUCUAGUGGGUUAAAAUGCAAGGCACUGAAUGCGGAUAAACCAAGGUGUAUUUACUCCAAGAAUAAAUUGACAGGGAAACAUGAUCUCUAAAACACAACCUUGAGAAAUUUGAUUACAACUGUGAUUCAGUCAUUACAGUUGAUGGAGAUGCUCUGCAAGGGAGAGUGUUUGUAUGACUGCAGAUGUCAUGCCAAUCUCACGUGGAGUUCCCUUACUGUGCCUCCAACAUUGGACGACCAGAUAUUUGUGCCCAUUGUGUCACAGAUGAGCCAGAAGCACAGAGAAAUCCAGAACUGUUAACAAAGUUUAGCCUUUAGGAUUGUACUUCCAGUUUAUGAGCAAUGCAUCAAUGUCCACAAGAAAGACAUUCCCCAUAGAUGUCCUAUAAAAAUGAAUACUGUGAACCUAAAUUUUGUUGGUAUACUGUGGCUUAACUGUUUACUUGUCUGAACUGUUAACAAAGUUUAGCCUUUAGGAUUGUACUUCCAGUUUAUGAGCAAUGCAUCAAUGUCCACAAGAAAGACAUUCCCCAUAGAUGUCCCAUAAAAAAUGAAUACUGUGAACCUAAAUUUUGUUGGUAUACUGUGGCUUAACUGUUUACUUGUCUGAAGUUGCUUAGUGUUUGAAAUUGUUUUUCUGGUUGUGUCACUAACUAUUCAUUUCAGUGGGAAAAAAAAUGUAAGCAGACUUUAAACUGUUGAUGUAUAAUGAUGCCUUUUGUUGUUCAGUAGUUAUUUUGCAUAAUAUAUUUGAGUAUAUU